UACGUAGGGUGCAAGCGUUGUCCGGAAUUAUUGGGCGUAAAGAGCGUGUAGGCGGCUUGGUAGGUCCGCUGUGAAAACUCGAGGCUCAACCUCGAGAUGUCGGCGGAAACCACUUGGCUAGAGUCCGGAAGAGGAGAGUGGAAUUCCCGGUGUAGCGGUGAAAUGCGCAGAUAUCGGGAAGAACACCUAUGGCGAAGGCAGCUCGCUGGGACGUUACUGACACUGAGGCGCGAAAGCGUGGGGAGCGAACAGG
rnacentral:rRNA from 1 species